UCCUGUGUAGCUCAAUGGGUAAAGAAUCUGCCUGUAAUGCAGGAGACCUGGGUUCCAUCCCCAGGUCAGGAA
rnacentral:tRNA from 1 species